AUGAAACAAAACUGCCUUUCAUGUGGCUGACAUUAUAAUUGACUGUACUCUGAUAACCAGGUGAAAUGCCUCUUAAGGAAGUAGGUGACGUGUGUUCUGCUGGCAUAUGUGGAGAUGA